GGUGGAGGCAGUUGGAAGAAGAGAUCGGUUGACUGAGAGUGAGGGAGUUUAUGUUAUCGUGUGUGCGUUCAGAAACAAAACCACACACAUACACACACACACACACCCACCACACACUCUCAGAUAACAAACCCCAAGAACCAGCAAUAAAGAACAUUGAAGAUA